UACAGAGGGGGCAAGCGUUAUUCGGAAUUAUUGGGCGUAAAGGGCGCGUAGGCGGCCUGGCAAGUGGAAGGUGAAAUCCCUCGGCUUAACCGAGGAACUGCCCUCCAAACUGCUUGGCUUGAGUCCGGGAGAGGUGAGUGGAAUUCCCAGUGUAGCGGUGAAAUGCGUAGAGAUGCGGAGGAACACCGAUGGCGAAGGCAGCCCCCUGGGCUAGCACUGACGCUCAGGCACGAAAGCGUGGGGAGCAAACAGG
rnacentral:rRNA from 1 species